rnacentral:misc_RNA from 1 species
UCCGAGUUGACCCCGGCAGUCUCCUAUGAGUCCCCGCCAUGACGCGCUGGCAACAUAGAACGAGGGUUGCGCUCGUUGCGGGACUUAACCCAACAUCUCACGACACGAGCUGACGACAACCAUGCACCACCUGUGCAGGCUCCCGAAGGGCUGCCGUGUUUCCACGACAUUCCUGUGCAUGUCAAAUCUAGGUAAGGUUCUUCGUGUUGCGUCGAAUUAAACCACACGCUCCGCUGCUUGUGCGGGCCCCCGUCAAUUCCUUUGAGUUUUAGCCUUGCGGCCGUAGUCCCCAGGCGGUGUACUCAUCGCGUAAGCUGGGGCACCGAGAAGCGCAAUCACUUCCCAGCGCCGGGUACACAUCGUUUACGGCGUGGACUAC